GCCGGGCGCGGUGGCGCGCGCCUGUAGUCCUAGCUACUCGGGAGGCUGAGGCAGGAGGAUCGCUUGAGUCCAGGAGUUCUGGGCUGCAGUGCGCUAUGCCUAUCGGGUGUCCGCACUAAGUUCGGCAUCAAUAUGGUGACCUCCCAGGAGCGGGGGACCACCAGGUUGCCUAAGGAGGGGUGAACCAGCCCAGGUCAGAGAUUGGUUAUGAAGUUGGAGUAUGAAUUGGUACAAUCCUUUUGACUAUUUGGUAAAUAGUAUCAAGAAUCUUGGGCUGGUAGAGUGGCUCA
rnacentral:sRNA from 1 species